GUGAGUAAUACAUGGGUAACGUACCUCUAACUCUGGAACAACCACUGGAAACGGUGGCUAAUACCUGAUAGUUUCGAUCUUCCACAUGAAAGAUUGAAUAAAAGUAGGGAUCUCUUCGGAGACCUUCUGGUUAGAGAGCGGCUCAUGCGCUAUCAGCUUGUUGGUGAGGUAAAGGCUCACCAAGGCUAUGACGGCUAGGCGAUCUGAGAGGAUGAUCGCCCACAUCGGGACUGAGACACUGCCCGGACUCC
rnacentral:rRNA from 1 species